rnacentral:misc_RNA from 1 species
AGCAGCCGCGGUAAUUCCAGCUCCAAUAGCGUAUAUUAAAGUUGUUGCAGUUAAAAAGCUCGUAGUUGAAUUUCGGGAUUGACGUGAUGGUCGUGCCUUACGGGGUAUGAACUGUUGCAGUCAAUUUCUCACCUUCUGGAGAAAUAUGAUGUCCUUAAUUGGGUGUCAUAUGGAACCAGGACUUUUACCUUGAAAAAUUAGAGUGUUUAAAGCAGGCUUAUUGCUCGAAUACAUUAGCAUGGAAUAAUAAAAUAGGACGGCAUGGUUCUAUUUUGUUGGUUUCUAGGAUCACCGUAAUGAUUAAUAGGGAUAGUUGGGGGCAUUAGUAUUCAAUUGUCAGAGGUGAAAUUCUUGGAUUUAUUGAAGACUAACUACUGCGAAAGCAUUUGCCAAGGAUGUUUUCAUUAAUCAAGAACGAAAGUUAGGGGAUCGAAGACGAUCAGAUACCGUCGUAGUCUUAACCAUAAAC